rnacentral:tRNA from 1 species
UCCUUGAUGGCUCAAAUGGUAAAGAAUCUGCUCACAAUGCAGGAGACCUGGGUUCGAUUCCCGAGUCCAGGAA